CCUAUAGCUUGUCUGUGUUCAGCAAAUUUGAGAAAGGCUGGCUUAAACAGUAGUAGGGUAAUUUAUGUAAAUGAGGGACAUUUCACGACAGAAUCGUGGUCAACCUGUAGCAAGGUUAUUGCUGGCUAUUUCCCGCCAGGUCUGCAGUGAGAAUUCAGAGCUAAAAGCUGAAGAGAAAGAUCUACUAAAUACUCAGUCUGGGAGUCCCAGUGAAUGGAAACCUGUGCACAAAGCAAGUGCAGACGAAGUAGCCUCCGCUGGUCAAGAGAUUAACAAUGUUAAAAGGAACCAGACCACUUUAUACUGGGACAAUAGGAGAGCUGUCUGGAGGGCAAGGCUCCGGGCCCUGAAAAUGCACUCUUACUGGAAAGACUUUCGUAAUUGCAGGGAUGCUCCGCUUGACUAAGGAUCCUUAGGGAACUGCUUUCUAGGUUCAGCCGAAAAGGCAUUCAGAGACCGCCGUGGCCCAAGGGGGCGUGGCUACAUUCAAACUGGCCGCCAAACACAAGGCUAUUCAAUGUGGCGCUGGUCUUCCAGGCACGCAGUCACGGAAAUCACCAUCAAGAUUUUGGGAAAAAAACAAAAAAAAAA
rnacentral:lncRNA from 1 species